AAGUUCAACGGACUGCUCUUUCCUGUAAGUUAUUUUUGGUGAUUUUUUAGGGAUUUUUCGGUGUGGUCUUAGUGGUGCUAUACUCUCGGACAGGUUAUCCUGUCUCUCCUGCUAGACUGAUGAGAUCAGACAUC
rnacentral:lncRNA from 1 species